rnacentral:rRNA from 1 species
UACGAAGGGGGCUAGCGUUGCUCGGAAUCACUGGGCGUAAAGCGCACGUAGGCGGCUUUUUAAGUCAGGGGUGAAAUCCUGGAGCUCAACUCCAGAACUGCCUUUGAUACUGGCGAUCUCGAGUCCGGGAGAGGUGAGUGGAACUGCGAGUGUAGAGGUGAAAUUCGUAGAUAUUCGCAAGAACACCAGUGGCGAAGGCGGCUCACUGGCCCGGUACUGACGCUGAGGUGCGAAAGCGUGGGGAGCAAACAG